rnacentral:rRNA from 1 species
UACGUAGGGUGCGAGCGUUGUCCGGAAUUAUUGGGCGUAAAGAGCUCGUAGGCGGUUUGCCGCGUCUGGUGUGAAAAUCCAGGGCUUAACCCUGGACCUGCAUCGGGUACGGGCAGACUAGAGUGCGGUAGGGGAGAUCGGAAUUCCUGGUGUAGCGGUGAAAUGCGCAGAUAUCAGGAGGAACACCGGUGGCGAAGGCAAUCCCCUGGGCCUGCACUGACGCUCAUGCACGAAAGCGUGGGGAGCAAACAGG